AAGAAUUAAAUGGAUGAAAUAUGAAAUUUUAUUAAAAGAAAAAGGGGUGAAAAGAACAAAGUUUUGUCCAUCUUUGUUCAUCAUAGCCUAAAGUUAGAGAAGAGAAAGGAGAGGAGAAAGCUCUUGAAUGUUCGGUCACUUGGGGAAGAAAAUUGAAGGAAAUCCCCAACCAUAGUGGGCUUGGAGCUAUGAGGGAAUUCGGAGUGGCCACCCGUUCUGAAAGUUUGAUUUUCUUCUGGUGAACUGGACAUCCUUUUAUUUACGUUUGAAGUUUUGGGUUUUUAAAUGUAAUAAGGCCGCUUAAUUA